rnacentral:misc_RNA from 1 species
UCCUGCUUGUAACAGGCAGUUUCCUUAGAGUUCCCAGCGUUACCUGUUGGCAACUAAGGAUGAGGGUUGCGCUCGUUGCGGGACUUAACCCAACAUCUCACGACACGAGCUGACGACAGCCAUGCAGCACCUGUGUUCUCCCCGGCCGAACCGAAAGGGCCCAUCUCUGGGCCCCCAAAGAGACAUGUCAAGGGUUGGUAAGGUUCUUCGCGUUGCCUCGAAUUAAACCACAUGCUCCACCGCUUGUGCGGGUCCCCGUCAAUUCCUUUGAGUUUUAAUCUUGCGACCGUACUCCCCAGGCGGAGUGCUUAACGCGUUAGCUGCGACACCGAGAUUUUGACAUCCCAACAUCUAGCACUCAUCGUUUACAGCGUGGACUAC